CUGGCCACCGUACCUGUCUACUGAUGACCUGAGAAUACAAGUUAUUUUGAAAGAGAGUAUCAGCUUUAAAGCUGGUGAAUUCAUAAGUAUUUAAGUGUUAUUGUCUGGUUUACUAAAAGCUGUUUUAAAAGUCAUGUAAACCUUUAAAUGAAAAUGUUGAUGUAAAUAUGAAAAGCCCUAGAAAAUCACUUAUUUUCUAUCAGUUUGAGAUGUAGUCUUCUACCAAGACCCGGAUGUUUUGUAAGUAAAAUGAUAGUUUUUCCUUCUUUUUGACUACUACAAACAGUAACUAGUCUAACUCAUCGUUUAUGUGAAUAUAUCACAAAAUAAAGUAAAUAGGAAAAUAUAACCAUGAAAGUAUUACCCUUGGGUUACCAGGGUUAACACGACAUCGCUGAAGCGAAAGGUAUAACCUAAUGAACAUCCGAAGAUUGUUCAAUUAACCUCUGUGGCGAACAGUAGGUUCCAGGAAUGGUUAGUCCCGUAACUGACUUUACAUCGCUGUAGUCGAAGUAAACAACCUAAUGAACAUCCGAAGAUUGUUCAAUUAACCUCUGUAGCGAACGGUAGGUUCCAGGAAUGGUUAGUCCCGUAACUGUCUCCUAAUAUAUGUAAUAACAACCCAAUGAACAUCCGAAGAUUGUCCAAUUAACCUCUGUGGCGAACAGUAGGUUCCAGGAGUGGUUAGUCCCGUAACUGACUCUACAUCGCUGAAGCGAAAUAGAUAACCUAAUGAACAUCCGAAGAUUGUCCAAUUAACCUCUGUAGCGAACAAUAGGUUCCAGGAAUGGUUAGUCCCAUAACUGACUCCCGUUGAACUGGGAUGGGCUAGAAUGAUUUACUGAAGGUACUAAUAAUUCAUCUUUACGAAUCGAGUUUCAAGUAUUCAUGUAAGUAUGCACUGGUAGAUGUAUCCACGUAAAGGUAUUCAUGUAAUGUGUUCAUGUAAGCGUAUUCAUGUAUCAUGUAAGCAUAUGUAAAGGUACUCAUGUAUCGGGUAAUGUACUCGUAAAGACUCAUGAAUGAACUAACUCUUGUGUGAUUCCUUGUAAUAGGAAUUAUGUUUGAUAUCUACAAAUUAUCCCUAUGAUAAUUUACUAAAAGGUA
rnacentral:lncRNA from 1 species